GGAUGUGGCUCAAGUGGUAGCAUGUUCGCCUGGCAUGCGUGAGGCACUGGGUUCGAUCCUCAGCACCA
rnacentral:tRNA from 1 species